CUAGUCCCACACAGAGGGCCCAGUCACAAGCCACAAGUCUGAUCCUGUUGCUCCUCCGCUUAAACAGGGCAGGGCUUCCAUCUCACCCAGAGUGAACAAGAAAGCUCCCAGCGGCCCAGGCUUGGCCCCUUCCUCCGUGACCUGCCCCGCUUCCAGCUCUUACAAACCCCACUACCUGCUGACUCGGCUCCUCUUGCUGUUCCCUGAACAGGUGAGGGGAUUCUGGACUCGCUGUUCCUUUUUCCUAGAAUGCUCUUCCCCAGGUAGCCACAGGGCUCCUUCCCGCCCUCCUCGGAGUCUUUCUGACCACCUGUGAGACUGCAGUCCCUUCCCCAUCCCCAAUGCCACCUUUCUCCUCCUCUGAGACUCCUCCUCCUGCUAUGACUGACUUGGGUUUGCUCCUUAUCUGUCUCCGGCUGGAACUGCCCUGAGUAUAGGGAUUCAUUUCUCUUUUGUUCUAGGCCCUUGGCUUCUACAACCAGUUAGAUGAAUAUAUGGGGUUGGAGGAUGGUCCUGAGGCACCAAGCCAGCACAGCCCUGGAGGAGCAGCCCCAUCCCUGGAUGCUGGUGUCAAGAGGAAAGCAACCAGCUCGACUGAAUCAUGUGCACUCAGACACAGUGGGCAGUGUCCAAGUGGAUCCUUGAAAAGUAGCCUCUGGCCAGGGAUGCUAAGUCUGGAGGGCGAGGAAAGUGCUCUUUCAA
rnacentral:lncRNA from 1 species